AGAGAACCGCGAGAAUCAGAGAAUCACCAGAAUCACGAGAAUCACGCUCACUGCCGCUCUCCGGCCCCUGCCCUCCUGGGCGGUCUGCACCUGCUCCAAAAGUACUUGCUAGUUCCCUUGUAGAGCAGCAGGUUAAGGAUCCAGCGUUGUACCUGCAGUGGCUCGCGGUGCUGCCAUGGCACGUGUUUGAUUCCUGGCCCAGGAACUUCCGCAAGGUGUGGGCGUGGCAAAAAAAAAUAAGAGACAGCGAAAAAGGCACUUCCCACCAGGCAGGUGCCGACGUGUGCCCAUUACCAAGCCUGCCCUCUCGCAUCCAGAUCAGCCACCUGUCCAUCGCCGGUAGCCAGAUAGGAUUGGUGGAAGACAAGUCCACUGAUGUCUCCAUUCAGAAUGCAUCUGUGAUCUUCAAGGGGACCCUUGGAGCCCGGGGGGCCAAUUCCCAGUAUCACUUGUGGGGACCCACUGAUGGCUUCCUGCUCGCUGACGUCCCUGAAUCUGUUCCCCACCGCAGCCUCCAGGAGCAAAGCUGAUCCUUCCCUCGUCUGCUUCAACUCAUCAAGAAUAAGAGGCGUGGGCUCCAGGCUCAUGCAUUUUCGGGCCCCUGCUUACCUCUCAAUCGAGUUGUUUUGAACCCAGCGCCAGAGCCUUAAGCUGCUGCAGCACAAGAGCCCUCCCCAUAUCAUAGUUUGAGUUUUUAUUUUUGAAGCACUUCCAUGCUGUUUUCCAUAAGCGGCUGCAUCAGAUCACAUUCCCACCAGCAGCGCCCAAGGGAACCCUUCUCUCCACAUUCUCUUGAGUUUAUUUUCAGCUUUUUAUUUUCAAAUGUGUCUGUUCUUCUCCCCCUCCCUCCCCAGAGUCCUAGCAUUUGAUUAUGGCUCUAUUAUCUGUAAUCGUUAAAAGAUUCGUUCCACUGUAGUCUCCCCCAGGUCGUUCCAUUAUGUCAGAGCCUCGAGAAGCACCUCCUCUUGUUGGUCGUUUGCCGGCUCUUGCGCGCGGUGGAUGGUUCUGCAUUGAGUGGAGCUUGGUUUUUCUGAGGACAGAUGCUGCUCCCUGGAUCACCUGCAUUUCCUCCUUUUGCACGUGUUCCUGCCAGGGACCCCAAAGGCUACAUCAUUCGUUCAGGCCCGUCUUUUUAGGUUGGUUUCUCAGCUCAGGAAACCCUGCACCGGGCGGGCAGUGUAAAUGCACACAUCCUUCAGAGCUGCACGUGCACAGGCUCAGUUUAUACCCUCCCAGACCCAGCCCGACCGACGCUUCUUGUGGCUUCCUCUGGCAGCCAAGUCAUUUGGUCUCCUUUUCACUGCCCGAGAGGAGGUGUUUCCAUUCCCCUCUUCAUCUCACUUGUCUCCCUCUGACACAUGUUAAAACCCCCUGCCAGUGUGGUCUGAGGCCACAUCCUGGAGCUCAUCUUUCCAGGCUACUCUCACUUCUCUCUGCAUCUCUGACAUCUGGGAUUGUCCCUGUCUUUUGUUUGAAAUCAGCUGUGUAGUAAGUCAGGGCUUUUGUCGCAAGGUACUAGUGAGACAAUGUUUUGAUGCGGUGAGGUCUCCCCGAGCCCAGCCUCACAGUCUGCACAUGGGAAGCCCUGCCCUCCUGCCCGGGCUGCCCGCCCCAGCCCCAGCUGCCUGCCCGGGUUCCCCCACAGGGCCUUUGCCCAUGCUGUUCCUCCUGCCCAGAAUGUUCCCCCUCUCCCUUGCCCCCUUUGAUUAUUCCUCAUCGUCAGGGAAGGCCCCCCCCAACCCCCGCAAGAGGUCAGAUUCACUUUCCAGGGCUCGCCAGCACAGCCUGUGCACCCCUCCUGAAGACACUCAUCAGGUGCCAGUUUAUGGUUAGUUCUGGUGUUACCCAGUAAACACGGAGCUUCCCGAAGGUAGGGAGCGGGUGUCUUGGGCCCCGCGGUUCCUGCCUCCUCCCUCGGGGCUGGAGCGUGGUUGGCAUUUCACGAACACUGCUACACAAAAGCAACAGCAGCACCUUUUGGAGGGCAACCUUGCAGGCGGUCCUUCUCCAGGCUCUUGCUGUGGAUCCUCUCACCUAUCCUCUCAUCGGCCCUUUUGCUCAAAGGCCCGCAAGCCUUCCAGUCGCCCAGCCUCCAGACCAAAGGAAGAGCCUGAGGCAGACACAGAGGCAGCAGUGGCUUCCUGGACAGGGGCUCUUAAGCAAAAGGUCCUGGAGUGACACCCCACUGGUUAUGGCAGGCAGGAUAGAAGGCUACCAUUUACCCCAGGAAGUGAAAUCAGGUGGGCCCAUCAGUUACCAGGGAAACCAGCAGCUAGGGCGGCCCUUCGGCCCUCAGGUUAAUCACCAGCAAGGGGCAGGGGCAGACGUUUCUCUGUAAUAAACUACAGGUGGAAGUGU